rnacentral:rRNA from 1 species
AUUGAACGCUGGCGGCAGGCCUAACACAUGCAAGUCGAGCGCGCGGCGGACGGGUGAGUAAAGUAUGGGGGCUGCCCGAUCGGGGGGGGUAACUCCUGGAAACGGGAGAUACUACCGCAUAUUAUCUGAUAAUGCACAUGUGAUUAGCUAGUAGGUGGGGUAAUGGCUCACCUGGGCGACGAUCCCUAGCUGGUCUGAGAGGAUGAUCAGCCACACUGGGACUGAGACACGGCCCAGACUCCUACGGAGGCAGCAGUGGGGAAUAUUGCACAAUGGGCGCAAGCCUGAUGCAGCCAUGCCGCGUGUAUUAAGAAGGCCCUAGGGUUGUAAAGUACUUUCAGUCGGGAGGCGUUACCGACAGAAGAAGCACCUGCUAACUCCGUGCCAGCAGCCGCGGUAAUUC